rnacentral:tRNA from 1 species
GCCCAGGUAGCUCAGUCGGUAGAGCGCACCCUUGGUAAGGGUGAGGGCGCCGGUUCGAGUCCGGUCCUGGGCU